rnacentral:rRNA from 1 species
AGCAGCCACCUUUUAAAAAGCGUUAAAGCUUCAUUGCGUAAUAUAAAAAUUUCCACUAAUUUUCUAAAACCCCCUAACCUGUACUGAAUGGUCUUAUGACUUCAUAAGAGCCUAUAUGUUAGAACUAGUAACAAGAAGAAGCCCUUCUCCAAAAUGUAAGCAUGAGCCAAAAUGAACAAUUCAUUGGCAUUUAAAGUUAAUAAUCUUCUAGUAGUAACUAUUCAAGAAAAACCUACUAUAUCUAACGUCAACCUUACACCAGCACAUUUCUGGAAAGAUUAAAAGAUUAGGAAGGAACUCGGCAAACAAAUAACCCCGCCUGUUUACCAAAAACAUCGCCUCCUGAUUUUUAUAGGAGGUCUAGCCUGCCCAGUGACAAAGUUAAACGGCCGCGGUACCCUAACCGUGCAAAGGUAGCGCAAUCACUUGUUCUUUAAAUGAGGACUAGUAUGAACGGCAUCACGAGGGUUAUGCUGUCUCCCUACUUUAUUCAGUGAAACUGAUCUCCCCGUGAAGAGGCGGGGAUAAAAAUAUAAGACGAGAAGACCCCAUGGAGCUUUAAACUCAGUAUCAACUGCCAUAUUUAAAACCUAAUAUUCAAGCAAUUUCUGACUACUAGUUUUUGGUUGGGGUGACCACGGAGUAAAACCUAACCUCCAUGAUGAAAGGAAAUAACAACCUAAAUCAAGAGCUACAGCUCUAAAUAUCAAUAAAUUGACUGAUUGAUCCAAUUAAUUGAUCAACGAACCAAGUUACCCUGGGGAUAACAGCGCAAUCCAUUUCAAGAGCUCCUAUCGACAAAUGGGUUUACGACCUCGAUGUUGGAUCAGGGUAUCCCAGUGGCGCAGCCGCUACUAACGGUUC